rnacentral:rRNA from 1 species
UGCCAGCAGCCGCGGUAAUACGGAGGGGACUAGCGUUGUUCGGAAUUACUGGGCGUAAAGCGCGCGUAGGCGGACUAUUAAGUCAGGGGUGAAAUCCCGGGGCUCAACCCCGGAACUGCCUUUGAUACUGGUAGUCUUGAGUUCGAGAGAGGUGAGUGGAAUUCCGAGUGUAGAGGUGAAAUUCGUAGAUAUCAGGAGGAACACCGAUGGCGAAGGCAUCUCUCUGGGCCGAUAUUGACGCUGAGGCGCGAAGGCGUGGGUAGCGAACAGGAUUAGAUA